rnacentral:rRNA from 1 species
UACGGAGGGUGCAAGCGUUAAUCGGAAUUACUGGGCGUAAAGCGCACGCAGGUGGCUGAGUAAGUCGAUUGUGAAAGCCCUGGGCUUAACCUGGGAAUUGCAGUCGAUACUGCUCGGCUAGAGUAUGGGAGAGGGUAGUGGAAUUCCCGGUGUGGCGGUGAAAUGCGUAGAGACCCGGAGGAACACCAGUGGCGAAGGCGGCUUCCUGGUCUGCGACUGACGCUGAGGCGCGAAAGCGUGGGGAGCAAACAGG